rnacentral:rRNA from 1 species
UACGUAGGGUGCGAGCGUUGUCCGGAAUUACUGGGCGUAAAGAGCUCGUAGGUGGUUUGUUGCGUCGUUCGUGAAAUCUCACGGCUUAACUGUGAGCGUGCGGGCGAUACGGGCAGACUUGAGUACUGCAGGGGAGACUGGAAUUCCUGGUGUAGCGGUGGAAUGCGCAGAUAUCAGGAGGAACACCGGUGGCGACGGCGGAUCUCUGGGCCAUUACUUACGCUGAGGAGCGAAAGCGUGGGGAGCGAACAGG